CUUCACUGUGGUACGUCUGAGUUUCCCCACGUUUACGGGGAAGGGUGCCCAGGGCUGUGAUCCCAUUCUCAGAUGUCUCACUGCAGGUGAUGACCGCCCUGAUGACUUGGCUAAGGUCAACGAGGCUUCGAGGCCAUGACCUUGACCAGUGAGAAGGCCAUAGCACAAAGCCCUGGACUGUGAGACUCGCCUGUUCUGGACAUUUCCUAUAAAUGGAACUGCACAGCACGUGGCUUCCGUGUGUGUGGCUUCUUUCAUUCAGCAGAACGCUUCCAAGGCUCAUUCUCGUCAAAGCGUGAAUCAGUACCUCAUUCUCCUCCACGGUUGAAUAACACUCCACCGCCUGGAGAGAGGUCCCACUUUGCCUGUCCAUUGGUCAGUGGAUGGACAUCUGGGCUGUUUCCACUUUGGGGAUGUUACGAAUAAUGCUGCUCUGAACCCUCAUGAGCAUGUUUGUGUACACUCAUGGACAUAUGUGGACAUAUGUUUUCAAUUCUUUCCAACUUAAUUUUACAUUCAUUAAUCUACGGUAUUCUUUUUCUUAAAAUGCCCCUCUCCUCCAAGUUGCCUAAACUUCAGGCCUGCCUGGAUUUACCCUGAUAGUAAGUCUGGUGGAUCAAAGAAGACGGAUGAGCCAGCCUGUAUUGAAGGGCAGAGCCAACCCUGGCUCUGAGGAUCUCCAACUGCUUUCUUCAGAAAAUAACCAUCCCGAUGGCUGAAGCCACUGCCAGCUGGGGUCCAGCAGCUGCAGCCACGGUGAUCCUGAUGGGGCCCAGAGGUGACUGCAGGGGUCAGCGCAAGACACAAGAGAUGGAAGCCUUCGGGAUGACCCUGGAUUUCUCCCGGUGACUUCUCAGGCACAAGCGUGAUGAAGUCUUUCACUGUCUUAUUAUUUAGCUAAGAAUAUGAGUGAACACUUGCCAGGUACAUCCCAGCGCCUGGCAGGGGCCUUUGAUACGUAACAUGUGAGCAGCGGACCACCAUCCCGACGGGCACAGCGCCCGGCACGGCUCCUGGCACAGCUGGUACAAGGUGACCCUCCCCUCCCCGUCCGUUGUCCAAGGUCAGAACAGGAUGGUGGUGUAGCAGCACCCCCGCCCCACAGUGCUCCCAUGGACCCUGAGGCCCUCACAGAGUCAGGCACACCCUGGACCUUCCUGAUGGCGUGUCUGGGAGGAUAGCCUGGCGACCCCGAUGCCAGCAGCACUUGCUGAAACGGAACCCAGACCCUCCCCCUCUGCCUGAAGCUCAUUCUGAGCUGCGACGAUCAGGGUCCAGAGCUGGACCAAUGAGCAUCUAAUGGCAGCAGGUGGCUGCAUUUUCUCUGUAACUGAACUUCCCACCUCACUCGGGGCAGAACGACAGUGUCAGCCUUACAGACCAAAACUGCACUGGAAGAUUCUGUACUGAUUUUCAGAAACAUAGGAAAAUCGAAAACCACAGUUAUCCUCCAAGUGCACACUUAUACACACACUCAUGCAUUCUUGCAGUCACACCUCACAUAUACCCCACAUACACACACACAUUCAUGCGUGUGCACACACGCCCUCUCACACACACGUGUGUGCACACACACAUGCAUGCACACACACCCUCUCAUACACACAUACACGCAUGUGCACACACGCCCUGUUGAGUCUUGCAUGCUGCCUGUGGAUUUCGGGCCCUCCUCUUGGCUCCCCAGGAGCAGCCGUGAGCUGCUUACAUUUCCAGGCUCCACAAAGACCUAGAGACCCUCUGCUCGUGAACUAAGGGCCAGAGUGUCAGGACCAGACAAGUGGCCUGGCCGCUAAGGGCCUCAGAGUGGGCAGUGGGUGCACUGCCAGGGUCACCAGUGGUGAGCAACAGGGGGGAGAUACAGGGCUCCCCCACGGAGGCUGAGAAGGCCCCUCAACUCCCCAGGAGAAGAGCUGGAGGCUGACACCAGGCUGUGAGCCGCCCCAAGCAGUGAGCUAUAAUAAUGAUUGUGGAGGCAGCGGGGCCGCCUGUGGAGCUUCCAACUUGGGCCGGGUGUGACUCGAUCGUGGGAGGAACAUGCUCUCAUUCACUCCUGCCACACCCAUGAAGUCCAGAUGGUGCUCCACCCCCAUUUCCAGGUGAGGACACAGGUGCUGCGGAGAAGGGCCAGGUUCACACCUGGAGCACUGCCCGCCUGAGAGCGCCCUGCAGGUACCGGAUGGAGCUGGGCAGGUCGCUGAGGGGAGCUGCCGGCAGAGCACCCUAGCCUGGGUGCAGAUGCAUGACAAAGGUCUUUGGUGACUCAGGCUCCAGGCCUGCAGGGCCUUCUGGUUCCGGGAGUGUCAUCAGGAGGGGUGUCUCAGCAGAGCCUCUCAGAGGCCCUUGCCAUGAUGCUCCUGUUCCUUCUGGGCAGGGGACCAGUGUGGGCACGGGCCACCCCUGUGCAGACGGCAGCAUCUUGCCCGCUCCUUGGACAGGUGGCACCCCUUCCAGGUGGGAAUCCAAGGAGAAGGGGACCACCCUCUCUGCCCUCCAGCAUCACAAAGUCUGCAGAUAACAUCAGAAGCCCCCCAGUCCCCAGUGUGUUCUAGGAAGCCCUUGCCAUGUGUACUGAGGGAUACGUUCACAGGUGCUCUGGCUGACGGGACCACGAUGCCCUGACCCCACAGGAGGCCCCGUCCCAGGUCCACACUGCUGUCUCGCAAGACGUGUGAAGCUGUCUACCGUUGGAGCUGCUGCGUGGAGUCCACUGGGGUGGUCAUCAUACCCCUAACAGCUCAGGGGCUGAGCCCCGGAGUUCAGAAGUUCAUCCCACUUGGAGCCAAAGGCCACAUUCCUGCCGAUCAGAGAGCCUCACCCCACUCUCCCCACCAAGCAGCUCAGGAUACAAGUCCACCCGAUGGAGCCAGGCUCAGACCUCAUCCACCACCUGCGCCCAGGGGGACGUGAGCCUUCGUCUUGCAACAGACGCCUCCCGGUCCACGGCACUUGGGGACCCGGGCCCGCUGAGGGGGCAUGCAGGCUCUCACAUGGCAAGGUGGCACGCCUGGUGCUCAACGACUUUAGGGGCCUCCUUUUCCAGAAGAAAAAUGUAAGUAAUUCAACAGAUUUCUGUGAGCCUCAAAAUAAUUUAACAGAUUUCUGCGAGCCUCCAAAGUAUCAUGUAUUUCUGACAUGAGAAAAAAAAAAGGUUUUUUUAAACAUUUUCUUUGACCUUAAAAG